UACCUGGUUGAUCCUGCCAGUAGUCAUAUGCUUGUCUCAAAGAUUAAGCCAUGCAUGUCUAAGUACAAGCCUGAAUAAGGUGAAACCGCGAAUGGCUCAUUAAAUCACACCUAAUGUACCUGGAAGUUCCAUUACUUGGAUAACUGCGGUAAUUCUGGAGCUAAUACAUGCUAAAGAGCCCUGACUCACGGAGGGGCGCAUUUAUUAGAUCAAAACCAAACGCUUCGGCGUUCAUUGGUGAAUCUGAAUAACUUUUGCUGAUCGUAUGGCUCAACGCCGACGACGUUCCAGUCCAAGGUGUGCCCUAUCAACUUUCGACUGUGAUAUAGACGCUCACAGUGGUUUUGACGGGUAACGGGGAAUUAGGGUUCGAUUCCGGAGAGGGAGCCUGAGAAACGGCUACCACUUCUAAGGAAGGCAGCAGGCACGCAAAUUACCCAAUGGUCGAAGACCGAGGUAGUGACGAAAAAUAACGAUACCGGUCUCUUCCGAGGCCCGGUAAUCGGAAUGAGUACACUUUAAAUCCUUUAACGAGGAACAAUUGGAGGGCAAGUCUGGUGCCAGCAGCCGCGGUAAUUCCAGCUCCAAUAGCGUAUAUUAAAGUUGUUGCGGUUAAAAAGCUCGUAGUUGGAUUUCGGCGAUCAGGGGCCGGUGAUAUAUUUGUAUCUACUGGCCCAUUUGGUCGUAUUUUUGAAAGAGGGUUUGGAGUCCCCUUCACUGGGUGUCCUAGGUCGCUUUCAGGUUUACUUUGAAAAAAUUAGAGUGCUCAAAGCAGGCUUUAACGCUUGAAUAUUCGUGCAUGGAAUAAUAGAAUAGGAAGUUCGUUUCUAUUUUGUUGGUUUUAGGAUAACGACUUAAUGAUUAAUAGGGACAAUCGGGGGAAUUAGUAUUCAAACGACAGAGGUGAAAUUCUUGGACCGUUUGAAGACUAACUACUGCGAAAGCAUUUUCCAAGAGUGUUUUCAUUAAUCAAGAACGAAAGUUAGAGGUUCGAAGGCGAUCAGAUACCGCCCUAGUUCUAACCAUAAACGAUGCCAGCUAGCGAUCUGCCGCUGUUUUUACUGUAGACUCGGCAGGAAGCUUCCGGGAAGCCAAAGCAUUUGGGUUUCAGGGGAAGUAUGGUUGCAAAGCUGAAACUUAAAGGAAUUGACGGAAGGGCACCACCAGGAGUGGAGCCUGUGGCUUAAUUUGACUCAACACGGGAAAUCUCACCAGGCCCGGACACUGGAAGGAUUGACAGAUUGAUAGCUCUUUCUUGAUUCGGUGGGUGGUGGUGCAUGGCCGUUCUUAGUUGGUGGAGUGAUUUGUCUGGUUAAUUCCGUUAACGAACGAGACCUUAUCCUGCUAAAUAGUGACUUGUAUCUCCGGAUAUAAGUUAUCUUCUUAGAGGGACUUUGUGAUUUUAAGCGCAAGGAAGUUUGAGGCAAUAACAGGUCUGUGAUGCCCUUAGAUGUUCUGGGCUGCACGCGCGCUACACUGAUGCGUUCAACGAGCAUAUAACCUUGCCCGGUAGGGUUGGGUAAUCUUUUGAAAACGCAUCGUGAUGGGGAUAGAUUAUUGUAAUUAUUAAUCUUCAACGAGGAAUUCCUAGUAAGUGCGAGUCAUCAGCUCGCGCUGAUUACGUCCCUGCCCUUUGUACGCACCGCCCGUCGCUCCUACCGAUUGAGUGGUCCGGUGAAUAAUUCGGACUGGUGCCGAUCUCGGUUCUCCGAGUUCGGCGCUGGGAAGUCUAGUGAACCUUAUCACUUAGAGGAAGGAGAAGUCGUAACAAGGUUUCCGUAGGUGAACCUGCAGAAGGAUC
rnacentral:rRNA from 1 species